ensembl:snRNA U6 U6 spliceosomal RNA
UUCAUAUCCCUUCACAUGUAUUAAAGUGGGAACAAUACAGAGAAGAUUAGCAGAGCCCCUGGUGCAACGAUGGCACGCACAAUCGGGAAGUAUUCUCACUUUUC